GUUGUAUGGUUAAGUGACUAAGCGUACAUGGUGGAUGCCUUGGCAGUCAGAGGCGAUGAAGGACGUACUAACCUGCGAUAAGCCGUGAGCAGUCGGUAAGAGACAUUACGACUCACGGAUUUCCGAAUGGGGAAACCCACUUAGCAUAAGCUAGGUAUCGCUACGUGAAUACAUAGCGUAGCGAGGCGAACCGGGAGAACUGAAACAUCUAAGUACCCCGAGGAAAAGAAAUCAACCGAGAUUCCCUCAGUAGCGGCGAGCGAACGGGGAUUAGCCCUUAAGCAUCUUGGAAGUUAGUGGAACGGUCCUGGAAAGGCCGGCGAUACAGGGUGAUAGCCCCGUACACGAAAACAACCUUGAUGUGAAAUCGAGUAGGGCGGGACACGUGACAUCCUGUCUGAAUAUGGGGGGACCAUCCUCCAAGGCUAAAUACUCCUGACUGACCGAUAGUGAACCAGUACCGUGAGGGAAAGGCGAAAAGAACCCCUGUGAGGGGAGUGAAAUAGAACCUGAAACCGUGUACGUACAAGCAGUGGGAGCCCUUCGGGGUGACUGCGUACCUUUUGUAUAAUGGGUCAGCGACUUACAUUUUGUAGCGAGGUUAACCGUAUAGGGGAGCCGUAGGGAAACCGAGUCUUAACUGGGCGUCUAGUUGCAAGGUGUAGACCCGAAACCGGGUGAUCUAGCCAUGGGCAGGUUGAAGGUUGAGUAACAUCAACUGGAGGACCGAACCCACUAACGUUGCAAAGUUAGGGGAUGACCUGUGGCUGGGGGUGAAAGGCCAAUCAAACUCGGAGAUAGCUGGUUCUCCCCGAAAGCUAUUUAGGUAGCGCCUCGGACGAAUACUACUGGGGGUAGAGCACUGUUUGGGCUAGGGGGUCAUCCCGACUUACCAACCCCAUGCAAACUCCGAAUACCAGUAAGUAAUAUCCGGGAGACACACGGCGGGUGCUAACGUCCGUCGUGAAGAGGGAAACAACCCAGACCGCCGGCUAAGGUCCCAAAGUUCUGGUUAAGUGGGAAACGAUGUGGGAAGGCUCAGACAGCUAGGAUGUUGGCUUAGAAGCAGCCAUCAUUUAAAGAAAGCGUAAUAGCUCACUAGUCGAGUCGGCCUGCGCGGAAGAUGUAACGGGGCUCAAACCAGGCACCGAAGCCGCGGAUUCACGCUAAGCGUGAGUGGUAGGGGAGCGUUCUGUAAGUCUGCGAAGGUGUGUCGAGAGGCAUGCUGGAGAUAUCAGAAGUGCGAAUGCUGACGUAAGUAACGAUAAAGGGGGUGAAAAGCCUCCUCGCCGGAAGACCAAGGGUUCCUGUCCAACGUUAAUCGGGGCAGGGUGAGUCGACCCCUAAGGCGAGGCCGAAAGGCGUAGUCGAUGGGAAGCAGGUUAAUAUUCCUGCACGACUUGUAAUUGCGAUGGGGGGACGGAGAAGGCUAGGUGGGCCAGGCGACGGUUGUCCUGGUGAAAGUGCGUAGGUGGUGUUUCUAGGCAAAUCCGGAGACACAACACUGAGACACGAGACGAACACACUACGGUGUGGAAGCCAUUGAUGCCCUGCUUCCAGGAAAAGCCUCUAAGCUUCAGAUUACAAGUCAUCGUACCCCAAACCGACACAGGUGGUCGGGUAGAGAAUACCAAGGCGCUUGAGAGAACUCGGGUGAAGGAACUAGGCAAAAUAGAACCGUAACUUCGGGAGAAGGUUCGCUCUUGACAGUGAAGUCCCUUGCGGAUGGAGCAGUUGGGAGUCGCAGUGACCAGAUGGCUGGGACUGUUUAUCAAAAACACAGCACUCUGCAAACACGAAAGUGGACGUAUAGGGUGUGACACCUGCCCGGUGCCGGAAGGUUAAUUGAUGGGGUUAGCGCAAGCGAAGCUCUUGAUCGAAGCCCCGGUAAACGGCGGCCGUAACUAUAACGGUCCUAAGGUAGCGAAAUUCCUUGUCGGGUAAGUUCCGACCUGCACGAAUGGUGUAACCAUGGCCAUGCUGUCUCCACCCGAGACUCAGUGAAAUCGAAUUCGCCGUGAAGAUGCGGUGUACCCGCGGCUAGACGGAAAGACCCCGUGAACCUUUACUACAGCUUGGCACUGAACAUUGAACCUACAUGUGUAGGAUAGGUGGGAGGCUUUGAAGGCGUGACGCCAGUUGCGCUGGAGCCGUCCUUGAAAUACCACCCUUGUAUGUUUGAUGUUCUAACGCAGGCCCGUGAAUCCGGGUCGCGGACAGUGCCUGGUGGGUAGUUUGACUGGGGCGGUCUCCUCCCAAAGAGUAACGGAGGAGCACGAAGGUUGGCUAAUCCUGGUCGGACAUCAGGAGGUUAGUGCAAUGGCAUAAGCCAGCUUAACUGCGAGACGGACAGGUCGAGCAGGUACGAAAGUAGGUCAUAGUGAUCCGGUGGUUCUGAAUGGAAGGGCCAUCGCUCAACGGAUAAAAGGUACUCCGGGGAUAACAGGCUGAUACCGCCCAAGAGUUCAUAUCGACGGCGGUGUUUGGCACCUCGAUGUCGGCUCAUCACAUCCUGGGGCUGAAGUCGGUCCCAAGGGUAUGGCUGUUCGCCAUUUAAAGUGGUACGCGAGCUGGGUUCAGAACGUCGUGAGACAGUUCGGUCCCUAUCUGCCGUGGGCGUUGGAUGAUUGAAGGGAGUUGCUCCUAGUACGAGAGGACCGGAGUGAACGAACCUCUGGUGUUCGGGUUGUCACGCCAGUGGCACUGCCCGGUAGCUAAGUUCGGAAUCGAUAACCGCUGAAAGCAUCUAAGCGGGAAGCGAGCCCUGAGAUGAGUCAUCCCUGACCCCUUGAGGGUCCUAAAGGGCCGUUGGAGACCACAACGUUGAUAGGUGGGGUGUGUAAGCGCGGUGACGUGUUGAGCUAACCCAUACUAAUUACCCGUGAGGCUUAACCAUACAACACCCAAGAAGUGUU
rnacentral:rRNA from 1 species